GGAUUAGAUACCCUGGUAGUCCACGCCGUAAACGAUGUCUACUAGCCGUUGGGAUCCUUGAGAUCUUAGUGGCGCAGCUAACGCACUAAGUAGACCGCCUGGGGAGUACGGUCGCAAGAUUAAAACUCAAAUGAAUUGACGGGGGCCCGCACAAGCGGUGGAGCAUGUGGUUUAAUUCGAAGCAACGCGAAGAACCUUACCAACUCUUGACAUCCUGCGAACUUGCUAGAGAUAGCUUGGUGCCUUCGGGAACGCAGAGACAGGUGCUGCAUGGCUGUCGUCAGCUCGUGCUG
rnacentral:rRNA from 1 species